rnacentral:rRNA from 1 species
CCAGCAGCUGCGGUAAUUCCAGCUCCAAUAGCGUAUACUUAAGUUGUUGCAGUUAAAAAGCUCGUAGUUGAAAAUCGAAUCAGCUUCAUUAUGGCUUCGGUCAUACUUGUUAGCUGGUUCUCCGUCUACAAACCUUUUUGCUCUUUUACGAGUGCAGCUUGGAGAGUAGACAAUUUACCUUGAAAAAAUUAGAGUGUUCCAGGCAGGUCUUCGCCGGAAUACAUUAGCAUGGAAUAAUGGAAUAGGACUAUGGUCUUUUGUUGGUUUUAGGGCCAGUGUAAUGAUUAAUAGGGACAGAUGGGGGCAUUAGUAUUUAAUUGUCAGAGGUGAAAUUCUUGGAUUUAUUAAAG